AACCUUUAACAAUGGAUCUCUUGGCUCUCGCAUCGAUGAAGAACGCAGCGAAAUGCGAUAAGUAAUGUGAAUUGCAGAAUUCAGUGAAUCAUCGAAUCUUUGAACGCACCUUGCGCCCUUUGGCUAUUCCGAAGGGCAUGCCUGUUUGAGUAUCAUGAACACUUCAACUCUCACGGUUCGCCGCGAUGAGCUUGGACUUGGGGGUUUUGCUGGCAUGCGGUCGGCUCCUCUCAAAUGAAUCAGCUUGCCAGUCUGUGGUGGCGUCACAGGUGUGAUAAAUAUCUACGCUUGUGGGUCGUCUGCCAGGUAACUUUCAGUGAUGGAGGUUUGCUGGAGCUUAUAAACGUCUCUCCUGGGGGAAGGCAGCUUUUUGAACGUUCGAUCUCAAAUCAGGUAGGACUACCCGCUGAACUUAAGCAUAUCAAUAAGCGGAGGCU
rnacentral:misc_RNA from 1 species